UUCACCACAGGAGGGCGCUCUACAACUCAGAAGGCAAGAGAACAGCUUAUUGAGUGUUUAAAGUUCAGACAGGUUAGACCAGGGUGAGCUUGGUGCAGUCUUUUUUCUUGUAGAUAUGUUGAAUUCUUGCACAGAAAUCUACCUUGAGUUGUUCCAUAAGCAUGAGGUUUUGCAAGCACAGGGUACACCCCACUAGUCAGGCCUGCAGUCAGGCCUUCCUGGACACAAUGUCUCUAAAAUAGACCACAGCCUGCUCCUGCUUAAUGUUGGAUAUAUUGUUUCUUUUGUAAGUCACAGAGUCAGUAUUUCUAUAUCCCUUCUCUUUCUCACCAGUGUAUGUUGGCCCUCCUGCCUUUCACGUUCUCUGAUCUUCCUGGCUCACAGACCAGAUAACUUCCUUCAGAAUUGAAGGGUACAAAAGGAUGAUGCUAUUUGUCUCUAUUCUUUUAUCUUAAAAAUCUGCCAAAAAUUUUGUGACCCACAGAUUUUUCCAGCAGGACAGUAAUACUUACAUCCUGGAGUCUCACAGAGGGAUGCAUUCAUAGAUAUCAUCGCUUUUGUUGAUAUCGUGUCCACGUACUCCUAGGUUCUGUCAGUUCAUCUACAACAAUGGGUUCUUUCACACCUGGAAAACUCCUUUGUCCUGGAUGAGCAUCCCCUCUGUCUCAGUGCUGGGAUUCCAGGCAUUGGCCACUAAAUCCAAUGUAGGCAACACUAGGAAGUCAAACACAGGGCCCCUGGCAUGAUAGGGAAGCAUUUGACACAACUGAGCUACAUCAACAGCCGUGUUUCAUAAAUAAUGCAGGACUGGAGUGGAGCAGAGACUGAAGGAGGGGCUGUCCAGGGACUGACUGACCUGAGGAUCCAUCCCAUGUGCAGCGACGAAACCCAGACACUGGCUGAUGCCAAGGAGUGCUUACUGACAGGGACCUGAUAUAGAUACCACCUGAGAGGCUCUGUCAGAGCCUUAGGGAUACAGAUUUGGGUGCUUGCAGCCAAAUAUCUGACUGAGCCCUGGAACCCCAAUGGAGGAGUUGGGAGAAGGACUAAAGGAACUCAGGGGCUUUACAACACCAUGGGAGGAACAACAAUAUCAAGCAAACAGAAUCACCACUCCCAGAGUUCCCAGGGACUGAACCACCAACCAGAGUAGAGGACCCAUGGCUCCAACUGUACAUAUGCAGAGGAUGGCUUUGUCUGGCAUCAGAGGGAGGGGAAGUCCUGGGUCCCUUGAAGGCUUCAUGCCCCAGAGUAGGGGAUUGAUAGGGCAGUGGGUGGGAAUAGGUGGAUGGGUGGGAGAGCACCUUCAUGGAGGCAGGGGGAGUGGGAGUAGAAUGACGGGGUUGGAGGCAGCCAGGGAAAUAAUAUUUGAAAAGUAAAUAAACAAAAUAACCAAUUUUUUUAAAAAGUUAACUAAAGUAAGAGACUGACCCACCUGAGUGGUCAGGUGACCCAAAUGAAACUUCUAUGUCACACCCUCCCAUUUCAGAGUUCAGGAUCAUCCAGGAAGAGGAGAUUGACAGAGCCAGAGAUAGUGGGUGCCUACAGCCAAACAGUGGUUUCCAGAUACAUUAGGGUAACAGUAUAUAUGAAAGGGCAAUAGCCAUGAGAGUAUGCACAAAAUCUAUCUGAGCUUAAGCCACAUAAAAUCCCAGUCAUUCUAUGAAGCCACAAUUAUACUUAUACCUAAACCAUUCAAUGACUCAACAAAGAGAGAGCACUUCUGGCUAUUAGCCCAAAUGCUUGAAUUACCCUAGAUGCCUAGAACAAAUGAAACUCAAGACGGAUGAUCAAAAUGUGAAUGCUUCACUCCUUCUUUAAAAGGGGAACAAGAAUACCCUUGGCAGGGAAGAGAGAGGCAAAGAUUAAAACAGACACAGAAGGAACACCCAUUCAGAGCCUGCCCCACAUGUGGCCCAUACAUAUACAGCCACCCAAUUAGACAAGACGGA